rnacentral:rRNA from 1 species
GACGAACGCUGGCGGCGUGCUUAACACAUGCAAGUCGAGCGGUAAGGCCCUUUCGGGGGUACACGAGCGGCGAACGGGUGAGUAACACGUGGGUGACCUGCCCUCAGCUCUGGGAUAAGCCUGGGAAACUGGGUCUAAUACUGGAUAUGACUCCACGGUGCAUGUCGUGGGGUGGAAAGCCUUGUGCGGCUGAGGAUGGGCCCGCGGCCUAUCAGCUUGUUGGUGGGGUGANGGCCUACCAAGGCGACGACGGGUAGCCGGCCUGAGAGGGCGACCGGCCACACUGGGACUGAGACACGGCCCAGACUCCUACGGGAGGCAGCAGUGGGGAAUCUUGCGUAAUGGGCGAAAGCCUGACGCAGCGACGCCGCGUGAGGGAUGACGGCCUCGGUG